GCAGGUUCCAGCCCCGACCCGGGCGCGCGGGGCCGACUAGGGUCGGGUCCGGUGUGCGGUGGUCGCUCCGCUCCGGGCCGCUCCGCUCUGGGCGUCAGGGCGCGGGGAGCUGCCCCGGGGUUCUGUCCACCGGGGAGGAAAGCCACGAGCACUGAGCGCCUCCUGAGAGCCAGCCCUGACGUGAACUCAUUUUAUCUGCCACGACCCAGAAGGAGUCUACUGCUAAGAUUUCAGCAUGUCCUGUGGCUGAGUUAAUCAGAGUUAUGACAGGAAGGUACCGGGCACACCAUCGCAGUGCUCCAUCAAUGCUAGUAUGUUGUGUUCUUUCCUUCAUAUCAAGUCAACUCAAGCUUGCUCUACUUACCUGGUGUACACAGUCUAAGAACUGUAAGAAGACUGGAGCAAAACCACUCCCCUGACAGUUGAGGGUCAAGCUGCUCCUCUGACUGAAUUUGUGACCAAAAGAGAGCCACUCUUUUUCAACCAACAUCCGGAAGCCUUCAAGUGUCCUAUAAAAGGGAUCACUGAGUAACUGAACCAGGGAUGUCACCUAGGGCAUAAGCAGGAUGGAUUGUCAUUAAUUUUAGUUCUGAAAAAGUCCUAUUACUAAGAUAAAAACACUUCCUUCUGAUGAUAGCUAAUUCACAAAUUUACCUGGACAGCAAAUUUGUUCACUAACCAUUCCAGGAUGGCCAAUAAAAUUAAUUUUGUAAACUUGCCAGUAAAAACUAAAGCUCAAAUUCAUUUUGGCUACAGGUUUACUUUCAGGGAAUUAAGACUUUAAUCCUUAACUGGCCAGUUUGCUGACAGCAACCUUUUCCUAAGUUAAUCAGAGGCCAGAGGAUCAGUUAAAAUCAUUUCUACUUUUUGGCAGAUGCAGAUUAAUGUCUUAAUGUAGUCUGAACUCACACUUUUCACUCUGGAGUGAGUUAAGGCGGGGCUUAUAGAGAGCCAGGGGAUGGACUGACAAAACCCAGGAAGGAUGGUCCGCGCCUCACACUGCUGGUCAAGGGCUCCAUCCGCAAGCCUGCAUGGUACAUCUGUGGAUGGGAGAGCCUGAUGCCCGGAGCCAGAGCUCCAGGCUGCGUAGGGGCUAAGAGCUCAUGGUACGGAGUUUUCUGAUGGCUACCAGGUGCUGUUUAACACAGGACUUUCUCUGUCCAUAAACACAUUAGUCAUUAUACAAAAGAGUCAUCUGAAGAAUUUAAAAACGACCAAAUGGAAAUAUAAAAUAUCAAAAAAUAUGUCUAAUAGUUUACUUGUGCAGUGAUGUCCCAGCCUUCCUCCAAACAGACCAAAACUGAGGAACCAUUCUCAAGUACUUCUGAUACAACCACAGCCAGCUGCAUUAUCCUGUGAAGCUAAGAGACAGGAAGGAGAACACAAUUAGACCAAGAGCUUUCUGAGUGCAGAAGUCAGAGAGAGUUGCUUUCAACCCUGGAUAAUCAAACGACUUAGGGAUAAAGCGCUUGCACAAAAGGACCACAUAAUGUUUUAAAUACCUAAAGUUCUUUCAAAUCAAGAUUAAGCAAUGACACUUUUGUCUGGAUGCAGUGACUCAUGCCCAUAAUCCCAGCACUUUGGGAGGCCGAGCCGGGCAGGUCAUUUGAGGUUCGGAGUUCGAGACCAGCCUGGGCAACACAAGCAAGACCCUGUCUCGAAAAAUAAAAAUAAAAAAGAUACUCCUAUUUGUCUGUACUGUGUACUAAAUGAGAAAAAAACUUUCAAUAUAUUUGUGCUAAGUUUUUAAAGCCACAUCAAUUGGCUCAAAGUCCUUAAUAAACAAUUAAGGUAUGAGAAUAGUACAUAGAUUUUAAAACCAAACGUAUAACAUUCUAAUUUUAAAAAAUAUUUUAAUGAUCAUCAGACAUAAUUUGCAAUUUGAAUCCAACUCUGAACAAGAACAAAAAUGAAAAAACCCAUCUCUUAAACAGAGCUAGGCUACUUUAAACACAGGAAUAAGGCAAAUGCCCUACUCAGUAAUGAGAAGCUCCUCAUGUAACUGUUUCUACAACAUAGCUAUCACCAGGCCUGAAUUCUUUUGGGCUCACAAUUUGUUCUAAGAAAUGGCUAUUAUUAAAAAGUCAGAAAAUAACAGAUGCUGGCGAGCCUGUGGAGAAAAGAGAAUGUAUAUACAUUUCUGAUGGGAAUGUAAAUUAGUUCAGCCAUUUAGAAAGUAGUUUGGUGAUUUCUCAAAUAACUUAAAACAGAAUUACCAUUUGACCUAGCAAUCCCAUUACUGAGUAUAUACCCAAAGGAAUAUAAAUUGUUCUACCAUAAAGUCACAUGCACACACAUGUUCAGUGCUGUACUAUUCACAAUAGCAAAGACAUGGAGUCAACCUAUAUGCCCAUCAACGGUAGACUGGAUAAAGAAAAUAUGGUACAUAUACACCAUGGAAUACUACACAGCCGUAAAAAGAAUGAGCUUAUGUCCUUUGCAGUAACACAGCUGAAGCAAACUAACACAGGAAUGGAAAACCAAAUACUGCAUAUUCUCACUUAUAAGUGGGAGCUAAACAUUGAGUACACAUGGACACAAAGAAAGGAAUAGACGCCUGGGACGUACUUGAGGUUGGAGGUGAGAGGAGGGUGAGGAUAGAAAAACUACCUAUCAGGUACUAUGCUUAUUACCUGGGUGAUGAAAUAAUCUGUACACCAAACUCCCAAGAUAUGCAAUGUACCUAUACAAUAAACCUAUAU
rnacentral:antisense_RNA from 1 species